GCCAUCGGGGAUAGCCCUUUAUACCAAUUCCCCAUGGAUCACUGAAGUUAGGCAACGUCGCGCGUGGUUAGUAUCGGGAUGGGUAACAUUUGGACAAUCGCGUGCUGCUGGUU
rnacentral:rRNA from 1 species